CAAUGUUAUAAUAUAUCACCUUUCAUUCCAGGAAAAAUGCUUUGCAAGAAUUGCUAGAGAAAAGAUCAAUACCCAAUUGUGGCUCAGGUGAGGGGAAUAAAAAUGGAAUAAUUGCCGCUGAAGAUUAUUAACCUUGAACACAUUUCCUGAGUUUUUUUUCUUGUGAAACUUUGAAAAAUGAAGAGAAUUAAGCUGUUUCUAAAAAGCCAAAGCAGCCUGCCAUCUCUUUUUCUUUUCUGGGCUACGGUCCAAUUUGCACAGCAGUUGCAAAGAAAAAGCAAACGCAUCACUAGAUUCAGCGAGAAAUAUUGUAACAGUAUGUAAUCUCUGUCAAGAUAAAAUUGCUUUGUGAUUUACAUUACAAUAAAUCCUGACCUUUAAGUGCUGCAGACUAA